rnacentral:rRNA from 1 species
CCUACGGGAGGCAGCAGUGGGGGAUAUUGCACAAUGGGGGGAACCCUGAUGCAGCGACGCCGCGUGGGUGAUGGAGCGUUUCGGCGCGUAAAGCCCUUUUGGCAGGGAAGAAGAUGACGGUACCUGACCAAGAAGCCCCGGCUAACUACGUGCCAGCAGCCGCGGUAAUACGUAGGGGGCAAGCGUUACCCGGAUUUACUGGGUGUAAAGGGGGCGCAGGCGGGAUUGUAAGUCAGAUGUGAAAGCCCGGGGCUCAACCACGGAACUGCACUUGAAACUGCAUGGCUAGAGUGUAGGAGGGGUAGGCGGAAUUCAUGGUGUAGCGGUGAAAUGCGUAGAUAUUAAGAGGAACACCGAUGGCGAAGGCGACCUACUGGACUGUGACUGACGCUGAGGCCCGAAAGCGUGGGGAGCAAACAGGAUUAGAUACCCGGGUAGUC